AGAGUUUGAUCCUGGCUCAGGACGAACGCUGGCGGUAUGCUUAACACAUGCAAGUCGUACGAGAUUUUUAGGUAUUUUUAUUUAAAAAUUGUAGUGGCGGACGGGUGCGUAACGCGUAAGAACUUACCUUUUUCUAUCGAUAGAUAGACAGGGUGCCUCUGGCAUUCUGGGAGUGGGAUAACAGCGGGAAACUGCUGCUAAUACCGCAUAAUGCUGAGAAGCUAAAAAGUGAAAACUGCCAAAAGAGAGGCUUGCGUCUGAUUAGCUAGUUGGCGGGGGUAAUGGCCUCCCAAGGCGACGAUCAGUAGCUGGUCUGAGAGGAUGAUCAGCCACACUGGGACUGAGACACGGCCCAGACUCCUACGGGAGGCAGCAGUGAGGAAUUUUUCACAAUGCCCGAAAGGGUGAUGAAGCAAUACCGUGUGAGGGAUGACGGCCCGUGGGUUGUAAACCUCUUUUAUUAGGGAAGAAGUUCUGA
rnacentral:rRNA from 1 species